UGCUGUCGUCGUUGUCGCCGCCGGAGUAUCCAGAUUUGUAUGGGAAGCGGAGGGAGCUUGCUAAGGUUCAGAUAUUGGAGAGAGAGAGAUUACUUUUCUUGAGAUAACACAACAGCACAUCAUGACUUUUAAUUCCUAGUUUUAAAUUUUUAUCUUUAGGACAUCACAUCUUGCACCUGCAGUAGGCUUAUCUGUUGGUUUGCCAUUAUGCUGGUGAUGUCACCUAUCAAACUGAAUUUUUUCUGGACAAAAACAAAGAUUAUGUUAUUGCUGAACAUCAAGCACUCUUGAGUGCUUCCAAAUGUUCGUUUGUGUCGGGUUUGUUUCCACUUUCAUCUGAGGAGUCCUCUAAACAAUCAAAGUUCUCUUCAAUAGGUUCACGGUUCAAGGUCUGAUGUUCUCUCUCUCUCUCUCUCUCUCUCU